rnacentral:tRNA from 1 species
GGAAGGUUGCCCGAGAGGCCGAUGGGGCUCGCCUGGAAAGUGAGUUUAGCGCAAGCUAACGAGGGUUCGAAUCCCUCACCUUCCUCCA